UAAACGGCGGCCGUAACUAUAACGGUCCUAAGGUAGCGAAAUUCCUUGUCGGGUAAGUUCCGACCUGCACGAAUGGCGUAAUGAUGGCCAGGCUGUCUCCACCCGAGACUCAGUGAAAUUGAACUCGCUGUGAAGAUGCAGUGUACCCGCGGCAAGACGGAAAGACCCCGUGAACCUUUACUAUAGCUUGACACUGAACAUUGAGCCUUGAUGUGUAGGAUAGGUGGGAGGCUUUGAAGCGUGGACGCCAGUCUGCGUGGAGCCAACCUUGAAAUACCACCCUUUAAUGUUUGAUGUUCUAACGUUGGCCCCUGACCGGGGUUGCGGACAGUGUCUGGUGGGUAGUUUGACUGGGGCGGUCUCCUCCCAAAGCGUAACGGAGGAGCACGAAGGUUAGCUAAUCCUGGUCGGACAUCAGGAGGUUAGUGCAAUGGCAUAAGCUAGCUUGACUGCGAGCGUGACGGCGCGAGCAGGUGCGAAAGCAGGUCAUAGUGAUCCGGUGGUUCUGAAUGGAAGGGCCAUCGCUCAACGGAUAAAAGGUACUCCGGGGAUAACAGGCUGAUACCGCCCAAGAGUUCAUAUCGACGGCGGUGUUUGGCACCUCGAUGUCGGCUCAUCACAUCCUGGGGCUGAAGUAGGUCCCAAGGGUAUGGCUGUUCGCCAUUUAAAGUGGUACGCGAGCUGGGUUUAGAACGUCGUGAGACAGUUCGGUCCCUAUCUGCCGUGGGCGCUGGAGAAUUGAGGGGGGCUGCUCCUAGUACGAGAGGACCGGAGUGGACGCAUCACUGGUGUUCGGGUUGUCAUGCCAAUGGCACUGCCCGGUAGCUAAAUGCGGAAGAGAUAAGUGCUGAAAGCAUCUAAGCACGAAACUUGCCCCGAGAUGAGUUCUCCCUGAGACUUUAAGUCUCCUGAAGGAACGUUAAAGACGAUGACGUUGAUAGGCCGGGUGUGUAAGCGCAGCGAUGCGUUGAGCUAACCGGUACUAAUGAACCGUGAGGCUUAACCUUACAACGCCGAAG
rnacentral:rRNA from 1 species